rnacentral:rRNA from 1 species
CCCUAUGGGGUGCAGCAGGCGCGAAAACUUGGCAAUGCGAGAAAUCGUGACCAGGGAACUCCAAGUGGCUGGGGUAAGACCCAGUCUUUUCUUGACUCUUCAAAGGUCUUGGAAUAAGGGGUGGGUAAGGACGGUGCCAGCCGCCGCGGUAAUACCGGCGCCUCAAGUGGUAGUCGAUUUUAUUGGGCCUAAAACGUCCGUAGCCUGUUUGGUACAUUCGUGGGUAAAUCAACCAGCUCAACUGGUUGAAUUCUGCGAGCACGGCCAGACUUGGGACCGGGAGAGGUGUGGGGUACGCUCAGGGUAGGGGUAAAAUCCUGUCAUCCUGAGCGGACCACCUGUUGCGAAGGCGCCACACUAGAACGGAUCCGACGGUCAGGGACGAAGCCUAGGGGCACGAACCGGAUUAGAUACCCGGGUAGUCCUAGGUGUAAACGCUGUGGACUUGGUGUUGGGGACUCUCCGAGAUUCCUCAGUGCCGAAGCGAAGGUGAUAAGUCCACUGCCUGGGGAGUACGGUCGCAAGGCUGAAACUUAAAGGAAUUGGCGGGGGAGCACCGCAACCUGAGGAUUGUGCGGUUUAAUUGGAUUCAACGCCGGAAAACUCACCAGUGCCGACGGACAAAUGAAAGCCAGUGUGGUGAGCUUGCUGGAUUGUUCGAGAGGUAGUGCAUGGCC